rnacentral:rRNA from 1 species
CCUACGGGGGGCUGCAGUGAGGAAUAUUGGUUAAUGGACGAGAGUCUGAACCAGCCAAGUAGCGUGAAGGAUGACUGCCCUAUGGGUUGUAAACUUCUUUUAUAUGGGAAUAAAAUGUUCCACGUGUGGGAUUUUGUAUGUACCAUAUGAAUAAGGAUCGGCUAACUCCGAUCCAGCAGCCGCGGUAAUACGGAGGAUCCGAGCGUUAUCCGGAUUUAUUGGGUUUAACGGGAGCGUAGGUGGAUUGUUAAGUCAGUUGUGAAAGUUUGCGGCUCAACCGUAAAAUUGCAGUUGAAACUGGCAGUCUUGAGUACAGUAGAGGUGGGCGGAAUUCGUGGUGUAGCGGUGAAAUGCUUAGAUAUCACGAAGAACUCCGAUUGCGAAGGCAGUUCACUGGACUGCAACUGACACUGAGGCUCGAAAGUGUGGGUAUCAAACAGGAUUAGAUACCCUUGUAGUC